UACAGAGGGUGCAAGCGUUGCUCGGAAUUAUUGGGCGUAAAGGGUAUGUAGGUGGUCUCAUUUGUCUGGGGUGAAAUCCUUGGGCUUAACCCAAGAAGUGCCCCAGAAACGGUGAGACUGGAGUCCUGGAGAGGGUCGUGGAAUUCCCGGUGUAGCGGUGAAAUGCGUAGAUAUCGGAAGGAACACCUGUGGCGAAAGCGGCUCACUGGACCAUUACUGACGCUGAUGCACGAAAGCUAGGGGAGCAAACAGG
rnacentral:rRNA from 1 species